CACUGUUAAAAUCGAAUUUUUUUAUCUCUCCUAUGUUUACUAGGUUUCUACUUUAAUCCGCUUCUUGCAUCUGCUAAGUCUGACUUCACUUUAUUGAUAGUUAUUUGCAGUAGGGGUGGACAUUCGGGAACCAACCGAAGAGAACCGACCGAUCCGAGUGCUUCGAAAUUGUCGCGGUCGGUUUCAAUCGGUUACGUGGGUUGGGCGGAUGAAGAAAUUGGGCUUCAAUGGAUAUUGAUGGUCGGAUUCGGAUGGUUUUGUUGGGCCCGUCGGAAUCCGGACCCGCCCGAUCUAUUAUUAUUAGUUUAUAAGUAGCACCAAUUUCACCCUAAAUACAUAACCUUGUAACCCUAAUCUGUAAAUCUCACAUCCUUCACUCCGCCGCCCCCUCACUCACUUCCUUCACUCCGCCGCCCCCUCUCCCACUUCCUUCACUCGUUCACCACCCAUAAACCAUUAUGAUGUCUCCUUCAGUCCUUCACUCAAUACCGUCACUGCUGAAACCAUAUAGAUUGAAGCUUCAGUUUAGUACUGUCACCCUCCAUCACCCCUAAAAGUGAAACCCUAAAUCCUCAACCUCCUCUCCACAAUCAAACACAACAAGUGUAUGACUGAGUUUAUGUUUAUUUUCUCUUUUUGCAUCGUCUUUAGUGUUUUAGUUUCAUUAAAAAAAUUGUUUUAAUAACUCCAUUUAUGUUCUUUUUAUGGAGAAAUGCAAGGAGUUGGAGAAAUGCAAGGAGAAAUUUUAACUGAAAGGAAACUCAAUCAUAUCAUGUGCAAUUGAAGGAUGCAAGACUCUUGGUUAGGAUAUUUUAAUGGCCUUUAUUCCAUUGCUAGGAAAAGAUCUCACCAGGAAAUAUCCAGUACAAAUCCAGUUGGAACAUACAAUUUUAUGGAUGAAGAAAGUCUAUUGAAGACAUGAUAUUGAAGCUUGGAGAUAAGAGUUUUCUCUUGGCACAAUUAAUGGGAAGAUUUAUUUAUGGUUUGUGGUACUUGUUUCAUGAAGUAAUUUAUUUAUGGUUUGUGUUAAUGUCUAUUUGAUUCUAAUUACUAACCUUAAUUUGCUUAUGCUUGGAGUGAAAUUCCUGGAAGAGAUAGAGUAGAAAACUUGGGCUGCAAUGUAACAAUUAUGGCAUUAGGAGAAUGAUUCUAUACUAAUUUCAUAUUUGCAGGUACUUAUUUAACAAUAAAAGAGAAUUUUGGAUAUAGAAAUGGAACUUUUAUCUAUGAAAAGUUUCUACUAAUUGUUAAUGAGAAGUUUCUACUAAUCAUCACACAUGGUUAAAUUAAAGUUUCUACUAACCAUUCCUUUGUUAGUGAUGUUUUUUGUGUAUUAUGUUACCCUUCAUCUUCAUACAUUUUCAUACAUUGUAUAUGUUUGUGUUUAGUUGUUUAGUUAUGUAUGAUGAACUAUAAUGGUUGUGUUAUAAAAUGUUGUGUUUUGAUCUUGUAGCUUGAAAGAUAAUAGAAGUUCAUAGAUGACAGAAUGAGGACCAAGACAUUCUUGAAAAUUAUUUUUUGAUUUUCUACCAAAGAAUUCUUAAAAAUUAUGUUUUGAGUUUCUAUCCAUAACUUCAACUUAUGUUUUUCUACAUGGAAAAACUGAUGAAAAUCAGAAGCAGGGGAGGAGUUGCAAAGAUCAUUUUAUAUAUUUUAUGAAAAUCAGAAGCAGGGAAGGAGUUGGAGCAAAGAUCAUUUUAUAUAUUUUAAGAUGUUAGUAUUUGUUUUUUUUUUUUGUGAUUGUUUAAUUUUAAGGAUUUAUAUGGACUGAAUUUUGUUGAAUUCAUUGGGUUAUAUUUUUUUUGUCUUAUCUGUUUGAUGGGUUGAUUUAGGUUUAUAUUGUUAUAUUUUUUUCUAAGAAAAUUAAUUUUGAUGAUUCGGUGCAAUAAACCGUAAGUUACUAUGUAAAUUUGUUUGCCAUUAUUAGUCUGAAGAAUUUGUAAUAUUGAGAAUUUAAAAAAUAUAUUUUGUAAAAAAUCAAUAUUGGGCUUUAAAUAAUUACUACUUUUUAUCUAAAUACUCUUUAUUUUUUAAUAAAAUACUAGUGAGUUUUGCCAUUUUUAAAAUUGAAUAUUUAUAGUGAAUUUUAAUUCGGCUUCAAAUUUGACUGGCCCAAGCCUGCUAAAUAGAAUAUUAAAAAAUAGAAAAAAAUUGAAUUUACUAAUUGGGCUGAAUUUCAUUUUGGCCCAAUUGCUAAUGCAAUCCGAAAUAAACCGGCCCAUUUACCCGAACCCGUUUAAACCCGAACCCGAAAAAACCGAAUGUUAAGUUGGUCGGAAUUGGGCCUAUAGAUGUCAUCUGAGGGUUGGGCCGGAUUGGAAUUUUGGGCCCGAACCGGCCCGAACCGAUGUCCACCCCUAAUUUGCACAUACACAUUGAUCAAAUAUAGUAAUACUAUCUCUCAAAUGAAACUCUUUUCCCCUCUCAUUGUUCUAGACAUCGGUCGCAUGGGGUCGGAUUCGGAUCAUAAAUGGCUCAUCCGAAGAAAACCACGGUUCUAAAAACAGAGGCCAUUUCCGUCCGUUCUAGCUCUCGGUUAAGCCGGAUUUCGGUUUAAUCGGGUUUCGGUUUGACUGGGUGGUUUCAAACGGUUUAGAAUUAAUCUAGAUUUUGAACUCUUGAGAAGAAAAAAUUUUAGAAGAAACUAAAACAAUCAAUAGAGGACCCAUCAAAAUAAGAACAACCAUUAAUAUGAAGAAAAAACGUACAACAAGAACUCUAAUACAAUAGAAUAACUAUUUUUUAUUAGAUGAAGAAGAAAAUAAAAAGGUGAUAUGGCUAUGAGA